rnacentral:tRNA from 1 species
GCGGGUGUAGUUUAGUGGUAAAACCUCAGCCUUCCAAGCUGAUGAUGCGGGUUCAAUUCCCGCUACCCGCUCCA